rnacentral:rRNA from 1 species
CGCAAUGGGCGAAAGCCUGACGGAGCAAUACCGCGUGAGGGACGAAGGCCUGUGGGUUGUAAACCUCUUUUUUCAGGGAAGAAGAUUUGACGGUACCUGAGGAAUCAGCAUCGGCUAACUCCGUGCCAGCAGCCGCGGUAAGACGGAGGAUGCAAGCGUUAUCCGGAAUUAUUGGGCGUAAAGCGUCCGCAGGCGGUUUUGUAAGUCUGUCUUUAAAGAGUGGAGCUCAACUCCAUAAAGGGGAUGGAAACUGCAAGACUAGAGGUAGGUAGGGGUAGAAGGAAUUCCCAGUGUAGCGGUGAAAUGCGUAGAUAUUGGGAAUUACUCCAGCAGCGAAGGCGUUGAACUGGACCAAACCUCACGCUCUUGGACGAAAGGUA